UACGGGGGGGGCAAGCGUUGUUCGGAAUUACUGGGCGUAAAGGGCUCGUAGGUGGCCAACUAAGUCGGACGUGAAAUCCCUCGGCUUAACCGGGGAACUGCGUCUGAUACUGGAUGGCUUGAGUUCGGGAGAGGGAUGCGGAAUUCCAGGUGUAGCGGUGAAAUGCGUAGAUAUCUGGAGGAACACCGGUGGCGAAGGCGACAUCCUGGACCGGUAUUGACGCUGAGGCGCGAAAGCCAGGGGAGCAAACGGG
rnacentral:rRNA from 1 species